UACGAAGGGGGCUAGCGUUGUUCGGAUUUACUGGGCGUAAAGCGCACGUAGGCGGAUUGUUAAGUCGGGGGUGAAAUCCUGGAGCUCAACUUCAGAAUUGCCUUCGAUACUGGCUUUCUAGAGGCUGGAAGAGGUUAGUGGAAUUCCCGGUGUAGUGGUGAAAUGCGUAGAUAUCGGGAGGAACACCAGUGGCGAAGGCGGCUUUCUGGCCUGUUCUUGACGCUGAGGCGCGAAAGCUAGGGUAGCAAACGGG
rnacentral:rRNA from 1 species